GUGAAAAAACACACCUGUCAGGACCACAGGGACCUGAGAAUUUGUUUCAGCUAUAUUUAAGCGAGGCUAAGGCUUUACGAGGGAAAGAAUCAAUGGAUUGACAAUUGUGGGAAACCUCCAGAAUGGAGACAAGGAAUCCAGAGGUUUGGGAUGUGUGUAAGUCCUGGGAAUGACGACAUAGAGGAAUCCCUUGAAAAGGGACGGAGAAUUGAGAGGGUGAAGGAUUGUUUUUAAUGCGAAUCACAGAAAUGGGGACACAAGACAGCAACUGACCAAUGAUGUUGCAGGUCAUCACAUCACUAUAGAGACCAAAAUUAUUCCAAGGUCAUCACGUCACUAUAGAGACAAAAAUCAUUCCAUGGUCAUCAUGUCACUAUAGAGACAAAAAUCAUUCCAAGGUCAUCACGUCACUAUAGAGACAACAAUCAUUCCAAGGUCAUCAUGUCACUAUAGAGACAACAAUUAUUCCAAGGUCAUCAUGUCACUAUAGAGACAACAAUCAUUCCAAGGUCAUCACGUCACUAUAGAGACAACAAUCAUUCCAAGGUCAUCACGUCACUAUAGAGACAACAAUCAUUCCAAGGUCACCCUGCAGUUUCCAUGAGGUCAUCACAUAUCAUUCUAAGGUCACUACAGGGUCAUAGCUUGACAAAUUGGUGCAAGGUUAUCCCAAGGGCAGCAUAAGGUUUUCAUAUUGUCAUUAGAGGUCACAGUGUCACCAAAGGUCAUCACAAGGUCAUCAGAGGUCAUCCCAUCAUGAAGACUUAUCCAGCAGUGGGUAUUCAAGGUACAGUCAUAUUAAAAGUUUAAGUGUUCAAUGUUCAGAGUGGAGUUUUUUGUUCAAUUGUUUGAUUUCCAUUUAUUUUUGAAUUGUUUUUUCUUCAACUUUUAUUUGAUUUUUGGUUUAAAUCUGAUCAUUAUGUUAACACAUCAGCAACAUUGUUAAUAAUCCAUUUAGUGAAUGUCUCAUUGAAAUUUAUUCAAUUGACUGUGAAACUGAAAUGUGAUUUAUAAUUAAGUGAUUUUUAAAUAGAAAUCAAAUGCAUCAAGAACAUUUUAUGUAGUCAAU